rfam:Bacterium P201 scaffold_52, whole genome shotgun sequence.
ACAGAGGAGUCCGAAAAUCUUGAAAAGAGUAGGAA